CGUGUAGGCGGCUUUGUAAGUCGGAUGUGAAAUCCCGCGGCUCAACCGUGGAAGUGCACCCGAAACUACAUCGCUAGAGUAUCGGAGAGGAAAGUGGAAUGCUUGGUGUAGAGGUGAAAUUCGUAGAUAUCAAGCGGAACACCGGUGGCGAAGGCGGCUUUCUGGACGAUUACUGACGCUGAGACGCGAAAGCGUGGGUAGCAAACAGGAUUAGAUACCCUGGUAGUCCACGCCGUAAACGAUGAGUGCUAGGUGUCAGAGGCUUUGACCCUUCUGGUGCCGUAGCUAACGCGUUAAGCACUCCGCCUGGGGAGUACGGCCGCAAGGCUAAA
rnacentral:rRNA from 1 species